rnacentral:rRNA from 1 species
CCUACGGGUGGCAGCAGUGAGGAAUAUUGGUCAAUGGACGAGAGUCUGAACCAGCCAAGUAGCGUGAAGGAUGACUGCCCUAUGGGUUGUAAACUUCUUUUAUAUGGGAAUAAAAUGUUCCACGUGUGGGAUUUUGUAUGUAUCAUAUGAAUAAGGAUCGGCUAACUCCGUGCCAGCAGCCGCGGUAAUACGGAGGAUCCGAGCGUUAUCCGGAUUUAUUGGGUUUAAAGGGAGCGUAGGCGGAUUGUUAAGUCAGUUGUGAAAGUUUGCGGCUCAACCGUAAAAUUGCAGUUGAAACUGGCAGUCUUGAGUACAGUAGAGGUGGGCGGAAUUCGUGGUGUAGCGGUGAAAUGCUUAGAUAUCACGAAGAACUCCGAUUGCGAAGGCAGUUCACUGGACUGCAACUGACACUGAGGCUCGAAAGUGUGGGUAUCAAACAGGAUUAGAUACCCGGGUAGUC